rnacentral:rRNA from 1 species
CCUACGGGAGGCAGCAGUGAGGAAUAUUGGUCAAUGGGCGCGAGACUGAACCAGCCAAGUAGCGUGAAGGAUGACUGCCCUACGGGUUGUAAACUUCUUUUAUAAAGGACUAAAGUGAGGCACGUGUGCCUUUUUGUAUGUACUUUAUGAAUAAGGAUCGGCUAACUCCUUGCCAGCAGCCGCGGUAAUACGGAGGAUCCGGGCGUUAUCCGUAUUUAUUGGGUUUAAAGGGAGCGUAGAUGGGUUGUUAAGUCAGUGGUGAAAGUUUUCGGCUCAACCGUAAAAGUGCAAUUGAUACUGGCAGUCUUGAGUACAGUUGAGGUAGGCGGAAUUCGUGGUGUAGCGGUGAAAUGCUUAGAUAUCACGAAGAACUCCGAUUGCGAAGGCAGCUUACUAAACGGCCACUGACAUUGAUGCUCGAAAGUGUGGGUAUCGAACAGGAUUAGAUACCCGUGUAGUC